rnacentral:rRNA from 1 species
AUUGAACGCUGGCGGCAGGCUUAACACAUGCAAGUCGAGCGAGCGGCGGACGGGUGAGUAAUGUCUGGGAAACUGCCUGAUGGCGGGGGAUAACUACUGGAAACGGUAGCUAAUACCGCAUACCAUCAGAUGUGCCCAGAUGGGAUUAGCUAGUAGGUGGGGUAAUGGCUCACCUAGGCGACGAUCCCUAGCUGGUCUGAGAGGAUGACCAGCCACACUGGAACUGAGACACGGCCCAGACUCCUACGGGAGGCAGCAGUGGGGAAUAUUGGACAAUGGGGGAAAGCCUGAUGCAGCCAUGCCGCGUGUGUGAAGAAGGCCUUCGGGUUGUAAAGUACUUUCAGCGAGGAGGCGUUACUCGCAGAAGAAGCACCGGCUAACUCCGUGCCAGCCGCCGCGGUAAUAC